rnacentral:rRNA from 1 species
UGGGGAAUAUUGGACAAUGGGCGAAAGCCUGAUCCAGCCAUGCCGCGUGUGUGAAGAAGGUCUUCGGAUUGUAAAGCACUGUAAGUUGGGAGGAAGGGCAGUAAGCGAAUACCUUGCUGUUUUGACGUUACCGACAGAAUAAGCACCGGCUAACUCUGUGCCAGCAGCCGCGGUAAUACAGAGGGUGCAAGCGUUAAUCGGAAUUACUGGGCGUAAAGCGCGCGUAGGUGGUUCGUUAAGUUGAAUGUGAAAGCCCCGGGCUCAACCUGGGAACUGCAUCCAAAACUGGCGAGCUAGAGUGGGGCAGAGGGUGGUGGAAUUUCCUGUGUAGCGGUGAAAUGCGUAGAUAUAGGAAGGAACACCAGUGGCGAAGGCGACCACCUGGGCUCAUACUGACACUGAGGUGCGAACGCGUGGGGAGCAAACAGG